UUGUUUUCCAUCUGGAUUUAGCAUACGGUGACCAGACGUCCCGAUUUGUCCGGGACUGUCCCGGUUUCAAGCUGACGUGUCCUGAGUCCCGACACACUUCUGUAAAACACUUAAAUGUCCCGGUUUUCAUCAGUCACUAACAAAUUUUCCCGGGUUUCACCACAAUUCAA